rnacentral:rRNA from 1 species
GAUGAACGCUGGCGGCGUACCUAAUACAUGCAAGUCGAGCGAACAGACGAGGAGCUUGCUCCUCUGACGUUAGCGGCGGACGGGUGAGUAACACGUGGAUAACCUACCUAUAAGACUGGGAUAACUUCGGGAAACCGGAGCUAAUACCGGAUAAUAUAUUGAACCGCAUGGUUCAAUAGUGAAAGACGGUUUUGCUGUCACUUAUAGAUGGAUCCGCGCCGCAUUAGCUAGUUGGUAAGGUAACGGCUUACCAAGGCGACGAUGCGUAGCCGACCUGAGAGGGUGAUCGGCCACACUGGAACUGAGUCACGGUCCAGACUCCUACGGGAGGCAGCAGUAGGGAAUCUUCCGCAAUGGGCGAAAGCCUGACGGAGCAACGCCGCGUGAGUGAUGAAGGUCUUCGGAUCGUAAAACUCUGUUAUUAGGGAAGAACAAAUGUGUAAGUAACUAUGCACGUCUUGACGGUACCUAAUCAGAAAGCCACGGCUAACUACGUG